AGAGUUUGAUCAUGGCUCAGAAUCAACGCUGGCGGCGUGCCUAACACAUGCAAGUCGAACGAGAAAGUGGAGCAAUCCAUGAGUAAAGUGGCGCACGGGUGAGUAACACGUGACUAACCUACCUUUUAGUGGGGGAUAACCUAGGGAAACCUGGGCUAAUACCGCAUAACACUUGCGAGUCAAAGCAGCAAUGCGCUGGAAGAGGGGGUCGCGGCCGAUUAGCUGGUUGGCGGGGUAAUGGCCCACCAAGGCGAUGAUCGGUAUCCGGCCUGAGAGGGCGCACGGACACACUGGAACUGAAACACGGUCCAGACUCCUACGGGAGGCAGCAGUGGGGAAUUUUGCGCAAUGGGGGAAACCCUGACGCAGUAGCGCCGCGUGGAGGAUGAAGUCCCUUGGGACGUAAACUCCUUUCGAUCGGGACGAUAAUGACGGUACCGGAAGAAGAAGCCCCGGCUAACUUCGUGCCAGCAGCCGCGGUAAUACGAGGGGGGCAAGCGUUGUUCGGAAUUAUUGGGCGUAAAGGGUGCGUAGGUGGUUCGGCAAGUCUUGUGUGAAAUCUUCAGGCUCAACUUGAAGUCUGCACGAGAAACUGCCGGGCUUGAGUGUGGGAGAGGUGAGUGGAAUUCCCGGGUGUAGCGGUUGAAAUGCGUAGAUAUCGGGAGGGAACACCUGUGGGCGAAGCGGCUCACUGGGACCACUACUGACACUGAUGCACGAAAGCUAGGGGGAGCAAACAGGAAUUAGAAUACCCUGCUAGUCCUUAGCCUAAACGAUGAUCGCUUGGUGUGCCGGUAUUCAAACCUGCGUGCUGCAGCUUACGCGUUAGCGAUUCGGUCUGGGGGAGUAGCGGUCGCAUGCCUGCAACUCAUGAAUUGCGACUGUGGCGUCGCG
rnacentral:rRNA from 1 species